GUUGUAUAGACGUUGUCAGUCAUCAGCCUGUUUGGAGCAGCUUGAAAUGCCUUCAGCAAAGCAAAUAGAAGCAAUGCGACUUUAUCAUCAAACAUUGUUCCACCAUUUUCAUGGAGCCCACUACCCAGGAUGUUACUUGUCACAUCAGAACGGGCAUCGAAAUCAAAUGUUAGGUGCCCACUAGAAAUUAAAGCACCAAU